rnacentral:snoRNA from 15 species
AUAAAUAUAUUUUGAUGAUACUUUGAGUAGGAAUCUCAUUGAGCUUCAGUCAUUCGUUGCAUUGAAAUUAACUUUCUCAACUGAAUAAAUUUGU